UUUCAGACGAUUUUGUGGUAUUUUCUCUCAAUAUAUUUUUUUACAUCCGAGAGAAUAAUGGCCAGCAAAAUGAAGAAGGUUUUCACAGGUGAGGAGGUGCUAGAUAUAUUGACCACUGAUAGCGGUGCUAAUCUUUUUCCUAUCGACUCUUCCUCUGAUGAGGACAGAUUGAAAUACAAGUGAUCCAGAUUAUGAAAUUCCAACAUCAGCGAGUGAUGAUGGUGAUGAUGAGGAGGAUGACGAUCCACUGCUUUCUGGACAAGCAUCCUCCAGUACAUCCCGAGUAGGGCCAUGUUCUUCUGCUUCCCCUGCACAGCCACAUCCAGACCUUUUUCAGUGUAAAGAUACACAGAAAAAAAG